UAUUGGUCAAUGGCCUAACGGCUGAACCAGCAACUUGGAGGAAUGUAUAGGGAAAGCUGGUAAAAUGCGAUGUACCUAGUAAUAUUAGUGAUUAAUAUUAUAUUAACUAAGUUAAUUAAAAUUCAAUGUAAAUAUCUGAUUAUGACAGUAUUUGCUUAUGUCUUGACCAAAACACGUGCCAGCAGUCGCGGUAAGACGUGGAAGAUAAGUGUUAUUCAUGUUUAACAGGUUUAAAGGGUACCUAGACGGUUAAUUAAACACAAAAAUGUAUUAGUUAACUAGAGUUUGAUAUAAAAAGGAUAGAGUACGGUGAGUGAAGAGAUAAAAUUUUAUUAUACCACUAAGGAACUGGUAAAGGCGAAGGCAACCUUUUAUGUAAUAACUGACGUUGAAGGACGAAGGA
rnacentral:rRNA from 1 species